rnacentral:rRNA from 1 species
ACAUACCACCCUGAAUGCUGAACACAUCCAAUCUCAUCUGAUUUGGAAGCAAAUCAGUACUUAGUACUUGGAUGGGAGACCUCUUUGGAAUACCAAUUGUUAUAGGCU